rnacentral:sRNA from 1 species
GUCGGUCGGCAGUUUUCCUCCCAUUGUUGCCGGCCGAUGUUCCCCUCUGGAGGUUUCGACCUUCACUUUGCCGGGCCUGAUCGGCCCGGCUUU